GCCAUAUCUAGGAAGAAAGGAGAUGAGUUAUUGCUGUGCUGGAAUGUGUUAUUUGGUCUAUGCAAUGCCUGUAAUUACAACUCUGCUUUCUUUUCCUCAGUCAGGUAGCAAAACCAUCUUUAUUUCUGUGCUUUAUAUAAUAAUGACAUUGUUGGGGACAGCAAGGGGAAGAGAGAUUUUUUUUACUACAGCACAUGCCAACCUCGCAAGAUGGUUUGCCCUCUCGUGAUUCUGAUAAUGUCUAUACACAUGUAAAUUGGAGAUUUUAAACGAGAGACCUGCCCAAGGACAACUGUGGAAAACUAAGAGGAAAAGAGUAAUUUCUUUGCCUGGACAAGCAAGUCUGUGCUGCUCUGCUAACCUGCACAAAAGGCCGAUCCAUCAUAAAUGUUUGACGUCUCUCUGUAAGGACUGUCGGUCCCACUCACAUCAUGGUGAUCUCGACUAAGGACAACAGGUGCCUGCAAAAGCCAAGGACAAAGAAGUGGAUUCCUACGUGGACUGUCAGAUCUGUCAGUCAAAGACUGUUUGCCACUGAUUUUACUUCCACCUCAUUGAUUUGUCUCUCUUUUCAAAUCUCAUCUGAAAAUAACUUUUCUCUAUAGUUUUACCUUCUUGAUUUCCUUCUCUUUCUGUUAUUAGUUAUUCUUAUAACUGGUAAGAAGCCCUAACUUGUGUGAAAGUCACCAUCAUUUCAAAACCAAAAAAUGACAAGGAUUUUUUUCUUAAAUCUGAAAUUGCUAUUGUCACAGGGAAAAAGGAAAAGGAAAGAAAUACAAUUAUUUUAUGAAAAUUGAUUUUUCUCUAAAAUUUCAAACUUUUACAUUCCAAGGUAGUCUUCAUUCAAAAAUAGCUCUGCUCCUGAACAACAAAAGCAAAUACAGUCUUAAGGGAGAGUUGUAAGGGAUUUUUUCAUGAAUUAGGAAUAUUUUUGAAAAUGUGAAAUUAAUUUGAAAUCUGAGGCUUCAAAUAGAUUUUUAAAUACAUUCCUCUCUACAGUUUAACAUUGUAACUUUGUCAGUAUUAGCAUAACCAAAUGAAACAGAAUAAAACUGAAAUUUUGUCUUUUCCCACAAAACAGAACAAAACAAAAAAUCUUGCUUAGUGUCAAAGUAACAUUUUAUGUAGCCCUUUCCAAACUGUUUGUAAGACUCCUCAGUUACUUGAGGCACCACCAGUACACCUGCCAGGGGAACCUGGAAGUCCCGGAAACUCCAGCUCUGAGACGGUCAGAUCCUGAAAACCCUGGAAAGAGGACAAACUAGUAGGCAUCCUAAUGGGAGCCCUCCUGGUAAGCGGUCAGAAAUCCGGCUGGUUUCCAUCAGAAUUUUAUCCAAAUGGUCAUGUUCCCAUGGUUUGCUUCAAGUUAUGAGGACUGCCACUUUUUUGACAGAAAACUAUUCCAUCAGAAAAGAUCCAACACAUUCAAAGAGGUGACAAUAAAAAACGAGGGAUAAGGGAACACUGAAUAUUAAUAAUCAUGGACAGCUAAAGCAAGUCAUUUUCUGACUUGAGAUUUAAUGACCUGCACAUACCCCAUUAGCUGAAAAGGCCUGAUUUUCCUUUUGUUUGCACACAAUUUACCCCGCAGUAGCUCCAUUUUCUUAGAAUAAUUUAGAGCUGGGGUGUCAAACACAUGCCUCACAGGUCAAAUCCAGCCCAUAUUGCUGUUUCACUCAGCCUGCAGGGCUCCGAGAGGGGCUGGACAUUUGGGGUGGUGCAAGCAGGGGUGGUUCCUGCUGCCAAAAUCUAGGGCAUAGAGCCCCAGUGCACAUAUAUGUCAGUGGAUGAGCAAAGACUGUGCUCAGGGGCAGAUCGUGGGGGAAGGGGGGACAUGGUGCAAUUGCACCUUGCUUUGGGUCUUUAAAACAAACUUUCUGGCAGUGGCAGUGGCAUUUCCAUUCAGGCAGCAGUGAGGGAGUCACUUAACUUCACGGCUCACUAUAAUCAACUCUAGAAGUGUUACUGACUGUUUCUCCUUUUUAAUGGUCUUAAUGUUCCACUAUUCACACUAUACUUUCUUCUACAGUUUUGCUUUGUUAGCUAUUGCCAGUAAUGUUUCACUUCUAUUUGACAACCCUGCAGACUGUUGUUAGCUCUAGCUAAAAACCUUAACUCAGGCAUAGAAAUGACUGACAGCAAAGUAUUGGAGGCAUGAUGAAAGCACUCAGAUUUACAAAUCUGAACAAGAAAUGUACAUUUCAUAUAAUGAGUACAGGACUAAUGAAACAAUAUCUUUUGACUAUUUUUGCCUGGUUUAUUGUGUUUUUAUGGGUUGACUAUAUAAUCUAGUAAAUCAGUGCACACUUCAA